rnacentral:rRNA from 1 species
GACGUAGGGCGCGAGCGUGUCCGGAUUAUUGGCGUAAAGAGCUCGUAGGCGGCUUGUUGCGUCAGCUGUGAAAACCCGCAGCUCAACUGUGGGCUUGCAGCUGAUAACGGGCAGGCUUGGAGUUGGUAGGGAGACUGGAAUUCCUGGUGUAGCGGUGAAAUGACGCAGAUAGUCAGGAAGAACACCCGUGGCGAAGGCGGC